AAGGAACCAGAAAAUGAGAAGU
rnacentral:miRNA from 1 species